rnacentral:rRNA from 1 species
CUGGCGGCAUGCCUAACACAUGCAAGUCGAACGAGGUUGGCUUCGGCCAGCCUAGUGGCGGACGGGUGAGUAAUGCGUGGGAAUCUGCCUCGUAGUGGGGGAUAACGUAGGGAAACUUACGCUAAUACCGCAUACGCUCUACGGAGGAAAGGGGGGGAUCUUUGGACCUCUCGCUAUGAGAUGAGCCCACGUCUGAUUAGCUAGUUGGUGGGGUAAAGGCCUACCAAGGCGACGAUCAGUAGCCGGCCUGAGAGGGUGUACGGCCACACUGGGACUGAAACACGGCCCACACUCCUACGGGAGGCAGCAGUGGGGAAUAUUGGACAAUGGGCGAAAGCCUGAUCC